rnacentral:rRNA from 1 species
UGUGUGCGGUACUACGGCGAGUGAGCGGCAAAAGCUCAAAUUUGAAAUCUGGUACCUUCGGUGCCCGAGUUGUAAUUUGGAGAGGGCAACUUUGGGGCCGUUCCUUGUCUAUGUUCCUUGGAACAGGACGUCAUAGAGGGUGAGAAUCCCGUGUGGCGAGGAGUGCGGUUCUUUGUAAAGUGCCUUCGAAGAGUCGAGUUGUUUGGGAAUGCAGCUCUAAGUGGGUGGUAAAUUCCAUCUAAAGCUAAAUAUUGGCGAGAGACCGAUAGCGAACAAGUACAGUGAUGGAAAGAUGAAAAGAACUUUGAAAAGAGAGUGAAAAAGUACGUGAAAUUGUUGAAAGGGAAGGGCAUUUGAUCAGACAUGGUGUUUUGUGCCCUCUGCUCCUUGUGGGUAGGGGAAUCUCGCAUUUCACUGGGCCAGCAUCAGUUUUGGUGGCAGGAUAAAUCCAUAGGAAUGUAGCUUGCCUCGGUAAGUAUUAUAGCCUGUGGGAAUACUGCCAGCUGGGACUGAGGACUGCGACGUAAGUCAAGGAUGCUGGCAUAAUGGUUAUAUGCCGCCCGUCUUGAACACCGGACCAAAA